rnacentral:rRNA from 1 species
AAAAAACAUGUCUUUUUGAUAAUAAUUUAAAGUCUAAUCUGCCCACUGAUAUAUUAUAUUAAAGGGCUGCAGUAUAUUGACUGUACAAAGGUAGCAUAAUCAUUAGUCUUUUAAUUGAAGACUUGUAUGAAAGAUUUGAUGAAAUAUAAACUGUCUCUAAUUUAUAUAUAGAAAUUAAUUUUUUAGUUAAAAAGCUAAAAUAAAGUUAAAAGACGAGAAGACCCUAUAGAGUUUUAUAUUUUACUUGUUUAAUGUUAAAUAUAUAAUUAAAUUAUAUAAAAAAAUUAAAAUAUUGUGUUGGGGUGAUAGAAAAAUUUAAUAAACUUUUUUUUUGUGGUUAAACAUAAAUAAGUGAUUAAUUGAUCCAUUUUUAGUGAUUAAAAGAAAAAAUUACCUUAGGGAUAACAGCGUAAUAUUUUUUUUUAGUACAAAUAAAAAAAAAAGUUUGCGACCUCGAUGUUGGAUUAAGAUAAAAUUUAAAUGCAAAAGUUUAAAAUUUUGAUCUGUUCGAUCAUUAAAAUCUUACAUGAUCUGAGUU